CCUACGGGGGGCAGCAGUGGGGAAUAUUGCACAAUGGGCGCAAGCCUGAUGCAGCAACGCCGCGUGCGGGAUGACGGCCUUCGGGUUGUAAACCGCUUUCAGCAGGGACGAAGCGCAAGUGACGGUACCUGCAGAAGAAGCACCGGCCAACUACGUGCCAGCAGCCGCGGUGAUACGUAGGGUGCAAGCGUUGUCCGGAAUUAUUGGGCGUAAAGAGCUUGUAGGCGGUCUGUUGCGUCGAAAGUGAAAACUCAGGGCUUAACCCUGAGCCUGCUUUCGAUACGGGCAGACUAGAGGAAGGUAGGGGAGAACGGAAUUCCUGGUGGAGCGGUGGAAUGCGCAGAUAUCAGGAGGAACACCGGUGGCGAAGGCGGUUCUCUGGACAUUUCCUGACGCUGAGAAGCGAAAGCGUGGGGAGCAAACAGGCUUAGAUACCCUGGUAGUC
rnacentral:rRNA from 1 species